AACGAACGCUGGCGGCAGGCCUAACACAUGCAAGUCGAACGAAGUCUUCGGACUUAGUGGCGGACGGGUGAGUAACGCGUGGGAACGUGCCCUUUGCUUCGGAAUAGCCCCGGGAAACUGGGAGUAAUACCGGAUAAGCCCUACGGGGGAAAGAUUUAUCGGCGAAGGAUCGGCCCGCGUUGGAUUAGGUAGUUGGUGGGGUAAUGGCCUACCAAGCCGACGAUCCAUAGCUGGUUUGAGAGGAUGAUCAGCCACACUGGGACUGAGACACGGCCCAGACUCCUACGGGAGGCAGCAGUGGGGAAUCUUAGACAAUGGGGGAAACCCUGAUCUAGCCAUGCCGCGUGAUCGAUGAAGGCCUUAGGGUUGUAAAGAUCUUUCAGUGGGGAAGAUAAUGACUGUACCCACAGAAGAAGCCCCGGCUAACUCCGUG
rnacentral:rRNA from 1 species